UGGGGAAUUUUGGACAAUGGGCGCAAGCCUGAUCCAGCCAUGCCGCGUGCAGGAUGAAGGCCUUCGGGUUGUAAACUGCUUUUGUACGGAACGAAAAGGUGCCUUCUAAUAAAGGGCGCUCAUUACGGUACCGUAAGAAUAAGCACCGGCUAACUACGUGCCAGCAGCCGCGGUAAUACGUAGGGUGCGAGCGUUAAUCGGAAUUACUGGGCGUAAAGCGUGCGCAGGCGGUUUUGUAAGACAGAGGUGAAAUCCCCGGGCUCAACCUGGGAACUGCCUUUGUGACUGCAAGGCUGGAGUGCGGCAGAGGGGGAUGGAAUUCCGCGUGUAGCAGUGAAAUGCGUAGAUAUGCGGAGGAACACCGAUGGCGAAGGCAAUCCCCUGGGCCUGCACUGACGCUCAUGCACGAAAGCGUGGGGAGCAAACA
rnacentral:rRNA from 1 species